rnacentral:rRNA from 1 species
GAUGAACGCUGGCGGCGUGCCUAAUACAUGCAAGUCGAGCGAAUGGAUUAAGAGCUUGCUCUUAUGAAGUUAGCGGCGGACGGGUGAGUAACACGUGGGUAACCUGCCCAUAAGACUGGGAUAACUCCGGGAAACCGGGGCUAAUACCGGAUAACAUUUUGAACCGCAUGGUUCGAAAUUGAAAGGCGGCUUCGGCUGUCACUUAUGGAUGGACCCGCGUCGCAUUAGCUAGUUGGUGAGGUAACGGCUCACCAAGGCAACGAUGCGUAGCCGACCUGAGAGGGGGAUCGGCCACACUGGGACUGAAACACGGCCCAGACUCCUACGGGAGGCAGCAGUAGGGAAUCUUCCGCAAUGGACGAAAGUCUGACGGAGCAACGCCGCGUGAGUGAUGAAGGCUUUCGGGUCGUAAAACUCUGUUGUUAGGGAAGAACAAGUGCUAGUUGAAUAAGCUGGCACCUUGACGGUACCUAACCAGAAAGCCACGGCUAACUACGUGCCAGCCGUCGCCGUAA